CCUACGGGUGGCAGCAGUGAGUAAUAUUGGUCAAUGGACGCGAUUCUGAACCAGCCAAGUAGCGUGAAGGAUGACUGCCCUAUGGGUUGUAAACUUCUUUUAUACAGGAAUAAAACGAGGCACGUGUGCCUUUUUGCAUGUCCUUUAUGCAUAAGGAUCGGCUAACUCCGUGCCAGCAGCCGCUGUAAUACGGAGGAUCCGAGCGUUAUCCGGAUUUAUUGGGUUUCAAGGGAGAGUAGAUGGGUGGUUAAGUCAGUUGUGAAAGUUUGCGGCUCAACCUUAAAAUUGCAAUUGAUACUGGAAGGCUUGAGUACAGUUGAGGUAGGCGGAAUGCGUGGUGUAGCGGUGAAAUGCUUAGAUAUCACGAAGAACCCCGAUUGCGAAGGCAGCUUACUAAACUGUUACUGACAUUGAGGCUCGAAAGUGUGGGUAUCAAACAGGAUUAGAUACCCUAGUAGUC
rnacentral:rRNA from 1 species